UACUUUUUAAAAAACUAAUGACCAGCAGGACCUUGUGUUUGGUUUUAACAUGUCAGCAUGCCUAACCUGAACACUAACCUUGACCCCCUAACCUAAAUAACUCUGGAGAUCUGUCACAGGUCAAACAGAUGAGAAUCUGAAAUCUAUUCAGAGUCCUAUAGCGAAAUGACCCAUAACCCUGGAGUCAAACAACUACCUUUGUUGGAUGCAGCACACCUGAAACUUCCCCUUAAAUAAGAAUGACACCUUCUACUGUCUCUAGUUUCUGACAUAUAACCCUAACUUUAACCCUAACUCUAACUUAUUCCAGCUGUGAAGGAAGCCUGGGGCUGUGCCAUCUGUAAAGACUUUCCAAAACAGCUCACAACCACAAACAUUUAGAUUUUAACUUCACCCUAACUUAGUGGAAAACCAAUGUAGAGAGCCAAUAUUGGAGGACCAUAAUCAAAGUCCUGCAUCUAUGUGGUUAAAUAUGUCAAAGUCUGGUGACAGAUUCAAGGUGUGAACAGGAGAAGGAAGUUAUUUAAAGUCAGUUUGGAGAAAUUGAGACCUGGUUGAUUUUAAUAGACUCCCUAACUGUGAUGGAUGUGCAGCUGUCUGUUCCCGUCUGGUUACAGUGAAAAAAUAUCUAAUAACUGACAGAUCGAGUGAACCAAUAACCAGAGGGCUUUUAAUAUGAUUAACAUGUCUGAAUAACAAAACUUAAUUUACUAUGGAGAAAUGUGAGUGUAUGUGUACAAAGAACAACCUGACCUGAUAAUGUGUGAAGCUGUUUUGUGUGAAGGCCUUGGAGGCUUAAAUGUCAAGAAGCUUGAGGCAAGUUAUUUCACGAAGUCUUUGUCUAUGAGGAGUUCUUUCUUAUAAUUUAAGUUCCGCUCCUGAAAUGUCAGCCUCUAUUAAAAGUUUUAACAAUAACCUGAGCGCUCCAAGUGUUUGUCAGACUUCUUUAAGGUGAAUGUUUCGACUUAUUACUCUCCUCACUUGCUCAUUUCUGGACUUUCAUAAUUAUUGAAGGUGUUUUAAGGUGAGUAAUAGACUGAGAUUUUCAUUAUGCAAAAGAAAAGCUGCAGAGGUACAGACAAGAGAUUUUUGUUGCCCCGAAUCUGAUCUCAUACAUAAAUCAAACUGGGCAGGAAUUUUUGUAUUACUUAUUUCUUGUCUGCAGUGUUCUCGUCUCACCUGUUACUUUUUCCAAAUAAAUAAACUCUUUACCUGUUAAAGGUCAGGCUUUUUAUUCUGCCAUCACAGCACCAUACUGCUCAGGACAUCCCCAAACGGAUGUUCUCUCACUGACUCCUGACAUAAACUGAUUAUAUUUUGGGUAAACCCUCCUCCCUCCUUUCCUCUGCCAGAGAAACGCAAACAUGCACAGCUCCAACCUCCGCUUGGCAGGAGAAGAUCUAUUUUGUCUUUAUCAGCUUGAGUUGGUUAAAUGCUAAAUUAUUCAUAGGGCAGUAAAAGCAUGCCCCCAUGAGAUUAGAGCACCUAAUUGUUCAUCCCAUUUGCUGCCUGAGAGCUGGAAGGAGGCUGGCUGAACACCAGCAUUCUGGAUAAUUAUUCAAUGAGAAAAUGAAAAAAAAACAAAAACACUCUAUUCAGAAACUGUGGGCGCAACUCCUCAAACUCCCAGACACAAUGCCAAGCAAUACUGGCUGCCUCCAACUUUGCAGUUAGGGGAAAUUAAAGGAAGAUCUCAUAUCACGUCUGGAGGAGGCAACAAUUUACACUUCAAUCAGCAAAUGUGAAACCCUUUACUUACAUAGUUUCUAAUGGGAUAAAAAUAUAGAAGCAUACUUUAUGUGUAAAAUAAUUUGUAUUAUUAUAAUAGAGUGUGUUUCCUGUGUGUUAGGGUUUGGUUCUCACUGCAGCAGUCCUGGUUCAGCUCCAAAUGCAACCAUCCCACACCCCACCCCCCAAAAACUCUGCAGUAAUGCAGAGGUGAAGUAGAGAUCUCAGUGAGUAAAAAACCAAAGUAAAGAGGAAAAAAUAGCAGCUUUAAAGGCUUUAAAAUGAUGCAGAGUCAAUAUAUCUCUUUAAAUGUCCUGCUGCAAGUCCAUUAUGUAGGUAAUUCCCCUUUCAAGAUUUAAAUGUCUGUAAAAUGAGGUUAAAUUAGUGUAUUUUAUGCUCCAUCAGCUGAAAUGGAACUUCUCUGUCAAGGCUGGUUCAAUCAUUAGAGAGGUUAUAGAUGGAGGCAUGUCUAAACUUCAUUAUCAUUAUCAUUAUCAGCUUCACUAGUCAUAACCUUUAUUUCAUGUGAGCUGAUUUACAGAUGUACAUUUAUGUGCAGCAAAGUGUCAUCCUGUUCAAACUUAUUCAUGCGUCCCAUCCACAGAGCGGAUAGCCCAGAAUACAGUAUAAAUGUUGUGAAAUCAACACCAGAUCAUGUAGCUUCUCUUUUUUUUUUAGUUUUCCAAAGAAGACAGAUAUUGUUUGAGCUGGUUUAUUGUGAUUCCUUAUGUUCUACUUGUCACAUCUCCUGAUAAGUUGUUUUUUUUUCUUUCAUCCCUCAUGUUUCUUGUCAUGUUUUGUUUUGAUACUCACCCCUGUCUCUUGUUCAGGUUAAUUGACUUCCUCCUCCUUGUGUAACCUGCUCCCCUGAUUACCUUGAUGUGUCUCACCUGUGUCUCGUUAACUCCACUGCCCUGGUGUAUAUUUAAACCCAGCAUUCAUAUGGGUGCAAAAUCAAGUAAUCUGAUCAUGACGUGCGUAUACAUGCAUCAAGCUUUAUUCAGAUUAGAAGCAUUUGAACAUGUGCAGAGUUGUCUGAUUUCACAAAAACAACUGCAGAGGUAGAGUUGUAUUUACGCCUGUGCUGUCAACGAACCAACAAACGAGGUAGUGACUCACUCCAUCCAAUUCAGGAUGUUCCCCCUGUUAAAUAUUAUCACUAGAUGGCACCCUUGCGUACUUAUUUUACUGUUCUGUCAAAGGUUGCACUGUGCAUGCAGAUGUGACAUCAUUAUGUACGCCUUGUUUUGUUAUCGGAGGAGCAGACACGGCUCCUGCGGUUGUGUUUUAUGUCGGUGUGGUAAUAAUGAGACCUCCUGUACUGGCCACAAUAAAUAGGCCAAAGGCUAAAGAGCAAGGACCGGGUCAGGUGAGAGAGUCACAAUUAGAAUAAGUGUUUACAUGGAUGCAUUUCAGAAUAAUGAUCAGCAUAAACCACCCCUCUUGACCGGAAUACAAUUUCUCUCCAAUUCCGAUCUUUCUUUCCAUUUUUAUUCCAAUCAGGCAUUUAUUCUGAUUACUUGUGCCCAUGUAAACACAGCUAUAGUUACACUACUAAAACAGAUGCUCUGAACAUACACAGUACAUCCUUUUACCCCCCAAACCUCUGAGAUUCCAUUGCCAAGAAUCAACUGGUGUGGAUCAAACGCUCCAUCCAAGUUCAAUAUUUCCUCAGUUUCCAGUUUCUCAAUAACUCUUUAUUUUAAGGUAAUCCCCAAAAAAAUGGGUAAAAUCUAUUGAGCCACAACCCCAACAAUACAUGGAUUAGACCUAAUCUGAUGGGCUUUAAGUGGGCCUUCUCAAUCCCACCAGUCCAUGUGGCUGCUCUGCAAAGAAAGUCCUGAUAUAACUGUUCACACUGCUCAUCUGUGCAAACAAUAAACCAAGUCUAGUUUCCUGUAACUGUACCCUUCUAUUGCUGACAUUAUCUUCAGCGUUAUGUCUUAUUUUAACACAUUUGUCUACUAAAUGUUUCUCACCCUAUUGUCAGACUUUUCUUACUCAUUGCGAGCGAUUAAGGUCUUAUCUGGUUUCUUAUACCUUGACAUAAGAUGUUUUAUGGAUUUGUCAGGUGAAUGUGGCUCGUAUCAAGUCUAAUUACACUUCUGCCUAAAAAAUAAGACAAAAUUGCUUGUUUUGUAGUGUUUUAUAUCAGCUCAGAGAAAAAGUCUUGUGUGUUUGUUUGCUAUCAUCCAUCAGGCUUGUUUUACCGCAGGUGAGGCAAAGUUCCAGUGAGGAGGAGAAACAAACAGCUUUAAGAAGCUGAUGAAAACACUCACCGUGUUAAAAGCCAACAAGAAAAAAUAUCCUAAUUUAAUCUUAGCUGUAAUAAAUCAAAUGAAAGUUUUACUCAAGGGAAAAUUGCUCGUUCAGGUAACUUAGGCAAAGACAGCAUUGAAGCAAGAUUCUUUAAAAGCAACAAGCAACUCCUUUGAGCCAGCGGUAAAAUUGGAUGAUUUAUUACUGCAAAUAAAAUCAAAUUGAGGAACUUAUGGAUGCCGAUGUUUUUUCAUGCAUUGAAAAGUUAUUACACUGUUCAGAAUAUGACUGUAUUGGUGUUUGAAGAUCGAGUAGACAUGACUGUGCGGUGUGCAGCUGUGUUUCUGAGGAGAAAAAUUGAUGUUUAAUAAGGACUCUGCAGAUACUGACUAUUGUCUCAAAUCAAAGUUUUUAUUCUUUUUCUCGAAGGGUUCAAACACAAAGACUCUUCUCAGACAUAACCUGCUCCGGAGCAAGCGAGACAUGCAGUGUAAGUUACUGAGAUAAACUAUCCUGGAAAGAAGUGAACCAAAAACCCCAUUAUAGAGUGCAAGGCUGUGGUAAACUGUUCUGAUUGCUUUUUUUGUUUGUUUGUUUGUUUUUGCUGCAGCGCCUGCAGUUGAUUAAUGUUAUUUUGUCUCAUUUACCUCUAACUGUUCUGAAGAGCGAGCUGGAUUUUUAUGCUCAUUAUUGUGCUUCAUUGCCAAACCACUACAUGAAGAUAUGUACUGGCCUACAAAAGGAGCUGCUCUGGCCUCUAACUGUUUCUGUUCAGCUAUAUAUGAGUACUUUGAAAUAAAUUACUAGAGUAAAGGGACAAGGGCCACUCAUGCCAAACUCCUGCGGAACCAAAUCUAUUCUCUUUCAUGAGAACAUUUUCAGUACAAAUAGAUAGAUAAAUAAAAAUAAAAACAAUGUUGUGGUUUGCAGAUGUCUUUAAACCCCUCAUUAAAAUGAAAGAGAAAAAGAACCUGAAAGAUCUCAGCACAGAAGGGACAAGGCCCAAAAACCAAUAAUGGAUGGCCCCGAUCUUCAGGGCCUCAGGGGGCACUUCAUAAAAAAAAGAAACACAAACUGAAACUGGACCGUGCAAAGACCACUCACAGAUGUGAUCCAGAAAUUCCUGUGACAUUGCCCUUCUGAGCUUCGGCCCAUUUCAAACGGAUUUAGGAGAAGUGAAAACUGAAGGAAGACAAUACAGCAGCUUAUUAGCCCACAAUUCAAAAGCCAACAUCUGUGAUAGUAUGGGGGUACAUAAGUGCACAGAACAUGGGCAGCCUAUACACCUGCAGAAGGCACUAUCAAUGCUGAACAUUAUGUACAGGUUUAGGAACAACAUAUGCAGCAAUCCAGAUAACUAUUUAAUAUCACAGCCAGACAACCCUAUAAUACAGUGUGAUACUACUUAUUGUUCCCUGGGGGAAAUUUGUCUUGAGCUCAAGUGCAUCCACAAUAGUAGCAAUAAAUGAAACAAAUGAAUAAAACAAUAUUUAAAAAUCCAACAAUAACCCCCAUGCAAACAGAGGGAGCCUCAUAGCCUCUGGGCUCAAUAGGAAACCCUGAACACACUGAACAUGCCCUAAUCCAGACACUUCUGAAAUGUGCUGCCCACGUCAAGUUUAAAAUGGUACACUUAUGAAAGUACAACAGAUUUUUCAAUUUCAAUAUUUGAUGGGUUAUCUUUUAGUAACUCUCAAUUAAACAUAGAGUUGAAUUGAUUUAUAAAUCAUCAAAAUACAUACUCAUCACAACAUUCCAACUUUCUGGAGCUCGGUUUAUACACAAAGUACUUUUAUACUUUUGUUUAAGAGAAUUUACUGGAUUUUUUUAAACUGACAGACUGACCUAAAAGCUUGUAAACAAGGUUCAAAGUUCAAGUGAUCAUAAGAAAGUUUACGAAGAGUCUUUUUAGGGGACAAAUUUGGAAGCUGAAUUUUUGCUGAAGUCAUCUUGACCGAUCUCAAGGACAUUAAUGUUGUCAAGAGUUGAUAUAAAAGAUAUGUUGAGACAUUCAAACUCUUAAAGAAACCAGGAAGUAAUGAGUGGUGUAAGGUUAUGAGGGUUGAAUGGAUGUGAAGUUGAAAUAUAGUGGAGUUAAAAUAUGACCAGAAGGAAUGAAGCAUAAUGGAAAUAAAAUAGGUCCAAAGAUUGACCCCUGAGGGACCUCACAUGAGCGUAAUGGAGGAAGACAGGGUGGUUAAUGCCGACAUUGAAGUGACUUUGGACUACAAUCAUUCAAAUGAAUUCCAGCUUUAAAGCUUUUUAAUUAGAAUGACACGAUUCAUGGUGUCAAAGAUGCAGAUGAGUUAAGUCACACUCAAAUUAAAUGUUCUCCUUCAUCUGCAUGCGGGACAGAGUCAUCUGCUCUUUGAAGCAGUGCUGUUUGAGUCCAGUGUUUCAAAAGAAAUGAGGGAGCAAUUCAUCAGAGCUGUUUUGUCCUCACAAAGAGAGAGGAGGAGACUUUUAGUUGGGAAGGCCAGUUUGGUAACUGAUAGAUAAUAUCUUUGGUAUCCUAGGCUGAGAUUCUGAGAUGAGGGAAGACACUAGCUGUCUUGAUAGACGGACGUUAACACACAAGGGGGCGUUUGAUUGACAACAGAAAAGAAUGAAACAGCAUUGACUGACCGGCUCCCCUAAAGAAAUAUGACACAGUUCGUGAUAUCCAUCAUAGACAGAGUGCUCAGCAUUGACAGCAGAUAAAGAUAAACCUCCAGGCAGAAAUUGUGUUCAAUGUUUGAGUCUGACUGGUUGUUUGAACAUUACCAAGGAAGGUUCAGUCUGAUGUUAAUUCAUCCUGCAAGUAUCUUAGGGGACUGUUGUUUACCCGUAUAUAAACAUUUUCAAAUCAAUAACAUUUCCUGUCGACUUGUUUAUGUCAAAUCAGCGUCCUACUCACUCUGUUAGCUUUCAAAUUUGCAUAAUGAACAAACUGAGCAGUACCCCUCGCAGAACUGUUUAUCAUGUCAGAGUGUGUUACAGCAAAAGUUGAAUGAGCAGGACUUACAAAGGGUUCAUAUUUUAAAUAACCGAGAAAGAAAAGGUUAUUUUCACAUCCAUGGUCAGCCUUCCUCUGACUUUUCCUGUGGUACUGAAAGCAAUUAAAGCCAGUGGAUUGACAUCAGAUGUUGAGUCUGGUCAAACACGGUAACUUCUGUAGCUUUGAUAAUGUCAGAGAGAGGAUAAGCUGAAAACCUGUAGCACUAUAAUUGAUCUCUCUUUUCAUGUUUAGCGCAGAAGGGCUCUCUCUCUCUCUCUCUCUCUCCCUCUCUCCCUGUCUGUCUUAUUUUCUUAUUUUCCUGGGUCUUGUACAAGGUUUCCAUCUGAUAAAAGGAUAAAAGGUACCUUUUCCUUGCUACUGUUUUUCACCCACUGCUGCCUUAUUAGUGGAUAAAUAAAUAAUAUGCGUUUUCCACAGACUGAAGGCUGUAUGUGUAAGUCUAAAGCACAGAACAUACUUAAAGAUAUCAGGACAAUUUGGGGCCUGAUUUACAUGCUCAGAUCAAAGUCCUGUCGAUGAAGAGAUAGAUUCAAAUGUUCAUCAGAUGUCAUCAGAUGUUAACACUUUAGUCUGACAGGAAUCAAAAUAAAUUGAUUUACUGAUAGUUUGACCAAAAUUCCUUGGUAAUUUGAUUGGGGGCUAAUUUUCUCUGCAGAAAUUUUCUAUGUCAUUAUUGAAGGGAUCGUCUUUUUAAGUACUACAGUCACCAACUGUAAUGAUUAAAAACAACAUUAAAAAAGAGAUGCAAAUUGUAUAAAUCAUUCAGGUAUUUGAAUAAGAUCUAGAGGCCAAGAAGAUAAAACUGCAACACAGCGAAAGUCUCCAAAAGUAACACAUUCAAAACUGAAAAUAUCCAGCACUGAGCUGAGCAGUUUUCCUCCAAAGUACUGCAAUAAGAGGGCUUUAUUUUAUGACAGACAGUCCUGAAAGUGGAAACAUCCAUCACCUGUUACUAUGGCUCCAGGAGGCAUUAUCUUUUCCCC
rnacentral:lncRNA from 1 species